AGUGACGACGGGCACAAGCCUGGGACAAGCCUGAUUACCCGGCUCUCAAGUCUGGAAUGUUCACGAUGUAUUUACUGGUGCCGGACAAGUUUAUCAGGCUUGGCACAGGCUUGUGUUCCCAGGCUUGACACCGGCUUGCAAAAAAUUAUAAAAAAAUAUAAAUAAACAAUUAUUAUUAAUUCAUUAAUUUGACAUUAUUAUUUUUUACGCGAUACAAUUGAAACUAACGAUGAAAAUAUGAACGAAAAUAAACGGCGUAACGGAGGAUCGAUCCUAGGUCACGUGCACAAAACAAGAAACUUAGAAAAAAUAACGAAGUUCCCCCGCCGGGAAUCGAACCCGGGUCUUUUGCUUGCCGGGCAAACGCCUUGACCACUAGACCACAAGGCUUCUUAUUAUUUCUAAGUUUCAUCGAGUUAACUCCGACGUCCUUCUAUGCGUCAAUUCAUUUUUUGAAAAAAAAUUUCACGUGGAACUCCAAUGCUCUAUCGAGUCAACCACCGGGGUAUUAAUGAAAGAUUCAGCCAAAAUUUUUUAUAUGAAUGAAUUUAUUCGAGAGUCAAUUCACAGUCCUUGUAAGAGCCUGUCAAGAUAGUCAAAACCUAAUAAUUGUUAUUUAAAAUUUCUAUUUACAAUUUAUAGAUCUAAUUAAUAUAAUUUUUUUUUUUUUUAUUGAAUAUAUGCGCAAGUCAAGUCCCGUGUGAGACUUGGUUAAACGGGCUUGACACAAGGCUCGUGUGAGGCCGGGGAAAACAAACAACACAGGCUUGACACAGGCUUGGAUUAUUGAGGCCUGUGUGAGGCCGGUUAAAAACAACGGGGACAGUCUUGUGUCAAGCCUGUGCUCCCAAGGCUUGAUACACGACUACAAUGAUUGCCUUACGUCAUGGAUCAUGUUUCGAUGCCCCGUUUAAAUCAUUGUCUUCACGUUGGACGUGAUUUAUAUUAUUUUAGAAAAAUAAAAAAUAUAGUUGACUUUACUUUUUUGAUGACUCUCCAUUUUUUUAUCUUUGAAUACAUUCUACGAAAAUCAUUUUUUUGUAAUUUCAUGUUGAAUUGAUAUUCAAGUUAAAAAACUGAAUGAUGACGUCAGCUUACAGUCCUAUGAUAGUAUUGAAAAAUAAAUGAAUAAUAAUAAAAACUUAAUAUUUUGAGUAAAUUUAUUGCUGACAAGAAAAAUUUUCAGAAGUAGAUCUAAAAUAGAGAAUAUUUUUGAAUGAUUUCGAAAAAUUUUUUUAAAAUUUCGGAAAAAAUUUUAUUGCCUAUUUGGUUGUCUCCCGAAACUUGGCAAAUCUACUUUACCAUCAGUCAGUAAAGUAGAAAUCUUCAUUACCGACCACGAUGAAAGUUUCCUGUGUCAUCUGACAAUACAAUAAAAUUUUUUUAAAUUUAAUUUUAAUUUUUUCCUAGUUACAGCAACAUCCAAUUUAAAAAUAUAUAUGUAUAUAGGACAUGAGACAUGAAACUUGAGACUUGAGCUAGUCUACCAGGGCUUAUACUAAAACACUGAGAAUAAAUGAAUUCCGCUUGGAUAAAUUUGUAGUUGAGCAAAAUGGCAGCAGCUGACUCAUCAACGGACGACAGUCUUUAUCCAAUUGCAGUUUUAAUAGAUGAAUUAUAAUAUGAAAAUUUACUACUGCGAUUGAAUUCAAUCAAAAAACUUUUAACGAUUGCCUUGGCACUUGGUGCUGAACGUACUUGUAGUGAAUCGAUGCCUUUUUUCACAGAGACAAUUUAUAAUGGAGAUAAAGUUUAGUUUAGUUUUUAUUGUUUAUUGCCACCACUUGAAGCAUUAGCAGCUGUUGAAAAAACAGUUGUACGUGACAAAGCAGUUGAAUCGUUGCGUAUUAUUGCAAGUCAACACAGUCCAGCAUAUCGUGACAAUCAUUUUGUUCCAUUGGUACAACGUUUAACAUCUGGGGUGCUAUUCUUGGUCCCGUAUUGCGGGAGUUAUCGCGAGUCCUGCAAUAACGAU